GUGUGUGUGUGUGUGAGAGAGAGAGAGAGAGAGAGAGAGAGAGAGAGAGAGAGAGUCCUUCUAGCUCAGGCUGGCCUCAGACUUGCUUUGUAAGUGAGGAUAAACUUGAACUCUAAUUUUGAUUGGGGAUUUGAUGGGCGAAAAGGUUAAAGCUUUAAGGAAAAAAAACGAGACUACAGGGGGGAAGUGAGUGGAGACAAGAUUGGGCAGGGAUGAAGGAUGCUCCUGGGAUUUGCAAGUGAGAACAUUUGAGAUUUAGUCUGGCUGAGGUUUUCCCUUAGGUCAGGGGAAAGGUAAGCAGUAACUCGUGACCACUUCUCUGCCUGAAGCUUCAAUGAAAUAUUAGAGGAUUUUAGGUCCAGACUUGUGGGUGGAACAGUGUCUGAAGUGCAUGGGAGGAAGAAGUUGGUGGCCCUUCUUCAAUUCAAAAAUAUGCAUUUAGAUUCAGAAGGCCUAUAGUGUGUGUGUGUGUGUGUGUGUGUGUUGUACCCUUUCUUUCUUCAAAUUAUUUGUCAUUUUUUUUUGUCCUCCAAACAACUGGGAAUGCCCUGCUUUCCUUGAGCACGGGAGACUCUGAUCUCUGAUAUUAACAGCCCAUCUAAGAGGCAGGUUCUUUGGGAAGUUGUCAGAUCCUCCUGCAAAGUGUUCCUCCAUGGAGAAGAUCUAAGACAGGGAACAAACUACGUAGAUCCCUGACUGAUUCUGAAGUUAGGAGACACAGCCCAGCCUCCUGGUCCAAGCCCGAAGAGUUCUUUCCAGUUCUUUGCCAGGCCUGACCACCUGAUGGCAAGAGGUUUCUCCUUUCUCUGCCACCGGGAGUUAAAAUAGAGUGAUACUAAAUCGUGCCUGUGCAAGCCAGCAGCCGGAUGUGAAGGGUCAGAUACUCUGGAAUUGCUUAGGGUGAACCGGGUCUUGGCCCUUACUUCACCAGAUAUACUUCCUUUUUGUCCUCACAGCCUCAAGGAGGUUGUGUAAUGUCAGGAUGUCUUAAGCUCCCCCAUGUGUCAACGCAGGACAUGACAGACAGCUGUUACCUCAGAUGUCUUAUUGACAUAUAUGCCAUUUUAAAGUGGGUUUGUUUCUCUCUCUGCCUAUCCCCUGGCUGUGUUUGGGCUCCCUCUGUAGACCAGGCUGGCCUUGAACUUACGGAGAUCUGCCUGCCUCUGCCUCUUGAGGACUAGGACUAAAGGUUUGCCACUAACACCACCAGGCUUGAAGUGGAUUCUUAUGACCUUUAGGGAUGUGAUUUUUAUUCCUCCAAAGGGAGACUGGAUUAACACAAAGCAGCAAAACGAAUGGGCUAGAUGGUGGAUCUUGUAGUGGGGUCUUUGUUGUUCCUUACUGUCUCCCACCGAAGAGACAAACUCCUUGUUUGGGGUUGGGGGUGGGGUUGUUGAGUGUUAAGCCUGUACCCCAGCAGGGCUCAGUCCAACAAAGAAUGUCUUCCUAAAGUGGACCACUUUUCUACUCCCACCUCUUAGGGUACAUCUGCCUCCAGCAGGGCCGUGAUACUGAUAUACUUAGCAGGACUAGUCCAUAUUCUAUUUAGAAGUCUGGGGCCACACUAAACGAUGUGACCUAGUCCAUUCCCCAGCAAGCUGAAGCAGCCUUACACAGUCUCAGGAAUGUUCAGGGAUGCACUGGACUCCCUGGAGUCUCUGAGGGUGCACCCGUCUCACCUCUCUCAGCCUCUUUUCUUUUCACUUAGAAUGCGGCUAUAGUUUUGGCCAGGCCACACACCAUGUAUCCAGUAUCAUUCCCUUACUGGUCCCGUGUGUCCUGUGUCUUUCCAACCUAUCGUCUGUCUUUCCUUUGUGUCGUGUCUGGUGUCCUCAGCUUAUUCUACGGAACUGUCUUUUCUUCCCAGCUUGUCGUUUUGGAAGCAGCCUCCAGGAACUUCCAUUUUCCUUUUAACCAUGCCCUGUCUUCUUGAUCAGUACUCUAAACAACUCAGAGAAGACACAUUUCUUAGGAGGGGAGAGAUUUGGCUGAGAAGUCACCCAGUUUCCCUUCAAUCCUGUAUCUUGGGUGGUCUGAGAGGGAGGGCUAAAUCCAUUGAUUCCCCUCCCCCAGGAAAAAGCUGGGAGUUAGCUAACCAGAGCUGCUCAGCCAAUCGUUGCUCUGAGAAAGUUUGGAUUGUGCUCCUAUUUCAUUAGGCUGAUUGGAGCAGCCUUGACUCGGAGGUAUAGUCCCUCCCCAAGGGAUUCCGUGUACAGUUACACGGCUGUCGCUGCCUGUGCGUGUCCUUUCAGGAUAGCAACCCACAGCCUCCGCAGCCCCCAGCUCCACCUCCUCCACCUUUUUUUGUUUUUAUCUAGUGUCUCCCUUGCUCUCUCUCUCUCUCCUCUCCCUCCUUCCACCGCUUCUUCCUCCAGCCCUCCACUCUCCUGCAGCGCCAAGCCGGCUCCCCAAAGCAGUCUGCUGAACGCAAACCCCUGAGAGUUUGCUGCGCAGCUCCCUGGGGUCCGGGGCCGCGGAGUCCCGCUAAGGCAGAGACACCGGCAGAGCGAGCGAGAGAGCGAGCGGGCGCCGCGGAAGACAAACACUCGGGCACGCGAAAGGGAGCCCCAGGAGGGCAGCCGGGUGGCAAGGCUUGGCAGGAGACUGUCACUGCGUCCUGGGUCGACUCUCCCUCGUCGGACUGCACGAGGAAGCGCGCUUCUUAAAGUUCUAGACCGCAGGAGGCGGCGUCCCCUUCAGUCCCCUCCUCGCGGCGCUCCAGGAAAAGGAACUUGAUCUACUGGCAGGCUCGAGCCGCCCGCUGAACGUGAGAGGGGACAGUGCCACGGGCCCCGGGGUAGGGAGCCGAGAGAGGGAGCCUCGAGCCAGGCUGCAGAAGGAGGGCACCGGGCAGCGGCCAGGGACCCCGAUGCCGGCAGCCAACAUGAUGGAGAACCUGCAGCUGCCCGCCCUGCAGGUGCCAGAGCCUCAGGGCGCGCCGGAGGGCAGCGCGGUGUGGUCCAGCUCGUCCACCCCCACGCUCCGCCGCCGGCGCUUUAAGAUGCGCCGGAUGAAGAACGUGCAGGAGCAGAGCCUGGAGGCGGGGCUGGUAGCCCCGGACCUACCGGGCGUCUUGGCCCCCGGCAAGGAGUUCCUGCAACUGCCGUCCAUUGAGAUUACGCCCUCCAGCGACGAGGACACCCCGUGGUCCAACUGUUCCACACCCAGCGCGUCCCCGCGCCGAAAACGCUUCCUGCUCCGCAAGUGGCUGAGGGUGAGGGAGCGGAAGGAGUGCAGUGAGAGCAGGAAUUGUCCGUUGAGUGGGUCUCAAGAGCUCAAGUGGGUCACCAGCUAGUGUGGUGAUCUAAGAAGGGUCUCCGGUGUAUGAAGGGGUAUGGAAGCUAAGUUUGUUGGGACACUAGAACCCCCCAAAAAAAGUUUGCCUAGCACACCUCCAGCACUUCUGCAAUAAACUAAAUAAAUAAAGUUGUGUGGUACCUACUUGCAGUCCUAGAACUCGGGAAGAAGACGAGGAGGAUCCUUGGAGUCUGAGAUAGGCGCAGGUUACAUGGAAUGAUUGACCUCUUAAAAACCACAAACCAAACCAAGCCAAACUAAAUCCAAACCAACUAACCAUAUAACAAAAGGAGUUGAGAUACACACAUUUCAUUCACACUGAAGUGAUGGAGCCAUUGGAAGAUUUACACUAUGUCAUCUGUAGUGAUUGUACGAGAAAAGGCAAGCUUGGAGACAUGGGGGAAGGCUGGAGAGGGAGAGGCUCAAAUUAUGAAAAAUGCGGAAAGGACAAAACAAAAGAAAAUCGUGAGAUGUGUGUGAGGUCAGGUGCAUGUGAUGGACUCAGGGAACAAUAUGGUCAAAAUCGAAAGAAACAAGCAUAUGAUGUGUCUUCAUGGAGGUCUGAAGGAGGUGAACCCUCCUGAGUCUUCCUGGCUUCUCCCAUUGAUUCACUACAGAAUGUCUUUCCUGUCUGCAAUGGCUGUACAGGUUCUCUCAGUUAUGGACCUUGGGCGCAACAAGUCUUUCUUUUCCAGCCCACCACCCUGUUUCCUUUCCUAUAGAGCACAGGGAAGGGAGGAUUGGUGGAGGCUAAUCUCACACUAAACCAUGACUUUUCCUCAAAUGUGAGAGACCCUGGAAGAAGCACUGACAUUCUGUCACAGAUACAGAAGACAAAAUGGAGAAAGUCUAGCAGUGCUGCCUAAGGGAGGCCUGUGGAGCAAAGAAAUAUGCUGCGAUUACAAGUGUGUAUCACCUCUGGCUUUAGUUUCCUCCAUCUGCCCAGUGGGGAACACGCGCAGGUUCUGAACGAUGACCACCUGGAUGGGACAAGCUCUUGGAAUUAGUACUGUCACAAACCACCACCAACAAUAAAAUAGGAGGAAAAGAAUCAAUAACUGCGUAUGAUCUCAAAUCUCGUGAUCAGAAAUGGUUGUGGUAAUGGUUUGAGGGAAAAAAAAAAAAACAAAAACAAAAAAAGAAACAAAACCCAAGGAUGAGGGUCUCUCUAUGGCCUCCUGAAUUCUGAGAGGAAAAUCAGAAAUCAGGCAAUGCCAUGUCUCCCAGGGGUGUAUGUUGUGAAGACAAAGCUGACAAGGGACAAUUGAAUUGGGUUGUGUGCAACUGUAGCCCGUCUUUCUGGAGAAUCAAGAAUACUUUCUUUGCUUGCCUUCUUUGGACACAAUCAUAACUAUAACGUUCUAGACCACCUCUCACUGAGCUAUCCUGCACCCCUUUCUUUUUUUUUCCUGCACCCCUUUCUUUGGGAAAUCCCUACCCUGUAACAGCUGCUCACAGGCUGGCAGACUAACUACUGGAGGGUAAUGUUUUUGUUUGCUCCACAUCUGACCUUUGGUAACGGUUCCCACCAAGUCUGCCCCACCUGGUGUGUUGGGGUAACUCUGUAGUGCUGGUUUAGGUCUUUGACAUGUUUAUCUUGAUUCUCCAUCGCUUUCUCUGACAGCUGGAGGAAGAUCUGCUUCAAGCUUCAGGCAGUUCGCAGGGAGCAGGGUGGGUUUGUUCAUCCAGACUUCUACUCAAUCAGACUCGACUCGGUUAUUCUUUAUAGAGUCGUCGAUUCAGUGUGUGCUCUGCUCUGUGUGGCAGAGAAAAAGAAACUCGUGUCCCUCUUAACGUGAAGUAACAGAUCCAUGCCAAGGGACUGUGAAUGGUUAGGGUACAGUGUGAGCAGUCAACUCAGGAUAGGGUUAAGAAGAGAAGAUUCCUACCGGUCCCAUAAUCCUUUGAGGCCUGGAGUGAGUCUUAUUUUGUGCCAAGUUUCCUGCUAGGUGUCUUAAAUACAUGAUCAUUGUUAAUCCUCAUAACAAACCCGUGGGGGUAGGCUUCAUGAGGGAAGAGACUGUGGUCAGAGAGAUUAACUUGUUCCUGGUCUAACAAGAGCAUGGCACAUGUGAACCAUGUACUUGUUCCAGUGCCGAGUUCUUUACAGUUCUGUGCUAUCUGGCCUUGAAUGCUCGAGAAGGUGUAGGUGUGGAGGAGUUGCUUGUGCAAGAUGGGAAUUCACGAGUCGGGGGAAGCUGCUGAUCCAGUUUGGGUUGGGGAUAUGUGGGAAGCACAGCUGUGUGGGGGUGACAAUGAUGGUUGGGGUGGGACUCCCCCAGAAGAGGCAGCCUGCCUUUGCCUAUAGAUGUGGUUUCUAGAUUAAAAUAGUUUGUGGAAACUGAUACGUGGAGAUGGAGCCCUGUGGGCUGAUUUACGAUGGCCAGGUUCCUCUGUGGGAGUUGGUAUUUCUGGAGUUUCCAGAGUGGUUACGUGCUCAGCCAAUUACAGGAAACCAGGAUGCAUGUGGGACAGAAUAACCAGUGAUAAAUCCCACCCCCUCUUGGUUAGUUGCUCCCAGAUACCGUGUAUCCCCCAGUUGCUAGGCUCCUCGCUGAUGGUGGCUUCUGGUGUGCUCAGUUUCCGUUAAGGCGCCUGAAUGGCUAAGCUGCCAGUGGGGACUUUUCUUCCUGACCCUAGUGAGUAAGCUGCCAACUCUGGAGGAGGUGUUUAGAUGCCGGACAUGGUUGCUGGGUUGCUGUGUGGACAAAGAGCUUUAGGUAGACCGAGAGGUUUUCCUGGCACCGUUGUCUUCUUAGGAUCUCCCCCUUACAGACCAAAGCUGUGUGUGACUUACCAGGCGGCUGUGCAUAGGGUGUGAAGGAGGACAUAGGUUUUUAAUUAUCUUGGGGGGAGGGGAAAACAACUUUAGAGAGAGAGGAGGUUUCCUUCUCUCUGGGGAGAGGGUUCAAACCUCUCUCAGGAAUUCAGAAUGAAAAUCAAAGCUGGCCUUUCCAGUGGGAGAAGGGAGACAGGAUACAGAUACUUUGAGCUGUUGAAAAGAGAUGUCAAGACAAGGGCCUGCCACCCCAUGCUCCCAGUGGCAGCCACAUAUCACUUCUAGAGGCAGUACUGAGCUGGUGGUGUAGCUCAGUGGUAGAGGGCCAGCUUUGCAGGCAUGAGGCUACAGGUUCAAUCCCCUAUACCUCAUAACAAACAAACAAACAAACAAACAAACAAACAAACAAACAAAUGAAAUAGUGGGGUAGUAUUGAUUUUAGAUGUUAUCAGUUGCGUUUCUUGACUUUUGAGUUAAGUUACAUAGUUUAACAGUGCUAGAAAAAUGUCUGUGCAUAGCUAAAGGCUGUUGGUAGAAAACAGUGAUAAGAAAAAGACCUUGGGGUGUUUCUCUGGAGACCCCCAAAGAGUUUUUGUUCUUAGUCAGAUGGUGUGAAGCUUUCUCUGCUUCCUGUGCGUUCUCUGACAGGGCCAAGACUCAGAUUGGUCAGACCUGAUCUGAAGAUGUGUUUUUUUUUCUUCUUUUUUAAAUGAGGUGACCAGACAAGCCACGAUGGCUUGCAAGCUGCGUCUCAGACCUGUGCCCUGAAAUCUUGGUUAGCCCCUAACUGGACUCUGGCAUCUCCAGAGCAUCAGGCUCUUUUGGGGUCCUCUUCCUGAUAGCACAUUGCUCUAGUCAAGCCUAACCCUAGUCUCUCCUCUGCCUUGAGGUCUGACUAUAGCUGUUUGCUGUUUUGCUGUUCCUGGCUAGUGAGUUUAGCCAUGAAAUGGUGAGGCAGAGGGAAGGACUGAGAAAGAUAGCAAACUCUUCCCCCCACCUCUCUCUCUUUCAGCUAUGGUAAAAGAAUUUGUCUGCGGUCCCACUUUGGGUAUAGUGUAAUGAGGUACACUGGCCACUUCCAUAGCACCCCCAUGAUUGUAUCCUGGCUGCUGUAUCAGAAGGAGGGGCACAAAACAGACCCUAGGUCUUCCUGUCUUGCUGUUGUGAUACCGAUAACUUUGGAUUCUGCCGGGUGCGAGCCCUUGAACCUUAAGAAAUGUGAAUGUUUAAAAAAAUAACACUGUCCUGCUGUAAGCAAUUUGCUACAGCAACGAAAAAAAUGAGUCAAACAGUGACCAUAGCAGGAUCUGUCCCAAUAAGGAGGAAAAGGUUAUUCUAGUGACACUUUUUGUUUGUUUCAGACAGGGGCUCUUGUAGCUUAGGCUAGCCUUGAAAAUACUAUGUAGCUGAGGAUGACUAUGGACUCCUGAUAUGCCUGGAUUCACUUCCUGAGUGCUGGGAUUACUGAAUGUACUAUGAUGCUCAGCUCUUAAUCUCUCUCUCUCUCUCUCUCUCUCUCUCUCUCUCUCUCUCUCUCUCUCUCCCUCCCUCCCCCCUCUCUCUCCAUCUAUCUGUCUAUCAUCUAUCUAUCCUUUUUCCAGAUAGGGUCUUGUUUUGUAGCCCCCGAUGGCAUGGCCUAGACUAUGCAAUCCAGACUGUUCUCAUACAGCCCACCUGCUUCAGCCUAGAAAGUGCUAUACAGAUGUUUAUCACUAUGCACAGCUUAGUGACACAUUUUUGAAAAGCUCUCCAAGGGUCUUCAAGUUUGUUGUUGUAAGACCAAACAAAAUAGUGUUUAAAGUCAACAAUCACAGCCGUUCUAAUAAAAUAACUAGCUAAUUGUAAAAUUUAGGGUUGUAGGAAACAGGAAAAUAGUUUAAAAUCGACUCUCAGUGCUGUAUUAUUUCCUGGUAUUCUUUUAUUCCUUGUUCAGUUUUCAAGUUGGGAGGCUUUGGGAGUCAUGAGUCCCCCACUGUAAUAAACUCAGGUGUAUCGAGGGGGCACAUGGUCUGUAAGAGGCACUCACUGCUGAUUCUGUGGGCUUUCAGACAGCCUAGACUGGAACCUGGGACAAGAGCUACACACGCCUUGUAUUAUACCACAGGCCAUCCCUUGAGUUUGCCUCAAGGUUUUCUUGUUAUAGGACUGCAGCAGUUCAAAGCCAGUGGCACAUUUCCAGAAGCUAUUCAGUCAGUAGUAACCAGCCUCGUUAGUUCAGCGCUAUGUCAUGUGGAAAUAUCUCCCAUUGGAGGCCACUCCAGGGGCAAGAGUGGCCUCAGCAAGGUAAGCCUUUUCAAGUGUCUGGCAUGAGUGAACUGAGCACGGGUGUGACCCCUUCGCUUGAGCCUCGUUAGGUGGCCUGUGCCGUCUUGAAUUAACAUCAUCAUAUAGCCCCAUGGUUCAUUUUCACUCUCUGGCACUUUUCCUUCUUCUCCAUCUGUGCCCAAAGAUUUUCACCUGUAGGAGCAGUGGGUUCAGUCAUCAUGUUGGUCCAGAUUUCUGGAUGUAGUGCCAGUCAAGAGGUUCUUCUCCUAUCUCCCCUAUUUGUAGGAGGUGGGUGACUUGGGGGCCAUUUUGAACAAUAGGCUGUUGUUGUAAAAAUAUAAAAAUAAAAAAUGGUAUAGUUUGUCUUUUACCUCGCUAGGUCCACACUGCAGUGCCCCAAGAUAUCUGCUGGAUAUCUUGGUGGAAUCACACACAUCCCAACUCCGCGGCAGCCCAUUGUCUGCUUCUGCUGCACACUUUCCUACACUCAAACCGUCACAUAAAAGAACAUACAACACAAUAAUCUUAGAUCCAGUUGAUAAGAUCCAUUCCUUAGGAACAUAAAUAACAACCUGUAAAUACACAGAGCAGAAUCUUAACAUCACCUGCCAUGGCUUCUCACUAUCUCCUCUGUCCUGUCUCCUCCCUUUUCCUCCAGUCUCCUCCUCUUCCUUCAUACUUUUCUCCCGCCCAUCCUUCCUUCUCCUCCAAUGACAGGCCUCCUUCUAUCUUGUACCUGCCCCUCACCUGUACUUUACAAAUUCAAUGGGGAGAAGGUUCUGGUGAAGUCACCUGAGUCCUGAGUACGUGACGAGGCAGCUGUCCUUGGAGCAGUGGAAUUAGCAUCAAAAUACAGAUAACUUCAGUGCAAACCACAACAAUAGGCCACGAACUCCCCCUCGUGUGUGUGUGUGUGUGUGUGUGUGUGUGUGUGUGUGUGUGUGUGUGCACGCUCUUGCAAAUAUAUGUUUGAAUAAGUCUUUGGAUACCUGCAGAAGAAGGCACUGCAUAUCCUGGAACUGGAGUUAUAGGAAGUCGUGGGUUAUCUGAAGUGGGAUGUGGGUGCUGGGAACAAAAUUGUGGUCCCCUGCAAGAACAGCAAGCUGUCUUAACCAUUGAGUCAUCUUUCUGCAUUGAAUCUUAACCUCAGGACUUCUAGAUAAGGAUAGACAGCCUGCCCCAUGAGAUUGUAGGAAUUCUGACAAUGAGUCUAAAAAUAUAGUUACAGUUUUUUUUACUUUGGAACUAGCCAUGCAUCCAACAGUUGCAGUUUCAGUCCUGGUCAUGGGACUACUGCUUCUUCUCCUCCUUUGUGACAGGGUCUAUCAUAUGGCUCUAGGCUGUUUCGGAAAUCACUAUGUAGAUCAGGUUGGCUUGGACCUCUCAGAGAUCUACCUCUCAAGCUCUGAGAUUAAAGCCGUGCACCAGCACACUCAGCACUGUAUGUGUGGCUUCUGUAUCAGGUAGGGGGAAAGCGUUGAGACUGUAUGAGGUGAAAAGAAGAAAGAUGAAAAGAAAAGGAGCGAUAUGGGUGAGUAGCUCAGGGCUGUAGUGUGGUUGUCUGGCUUGGGUUUAACUCUAGCUCCAAAGACAGCUGCUAUGGCUUGACUGUGAACGCCCAGAAUUUAUAUAUGUUUCUUGAUCCCCAAAUUCAUGUCAACGUUAUUGGGAGUUCCAGCCCAGAGGAGGCAAUUAGGAAACAAAGAUGUUGGAGCCUUCAUGAUGCCACUGAUGACUUUAGAAGAAGAGGAGACGCUAAAGCUAGGCUGCUUACCGCCUCACCUCAUGGUGCCCCUCCCACCUGAAAGGAAGCAUGAGGAAGGCCCUGAGCAGCGUGUGCUGCUAUGAUGUCUCUGUAACCAAGACCCAAAUCAUCCUCCGGCCUUCUAAAUGAUCCAGGCUUGUGUGUUCUGUUCUGGCACUACAAAGUGAAUUAUCAAGCCAGCGUUUCUCCCUGCCUUUCUUUCUUAGGUCUGCCACAAAAGAGCACAAUCGACCUGGUGGGAAUGUUCCCAUCAUUCCAGUUUUGUCGAUUGCAAGCACACGCUCACGAGCUGUUUCUCCAUAAACCUACUGCCCCCAAGAUAAUCUUCCCCUUCUAGCUGUUGGAUACUCUGGGCUGCUAGGUGUGUUCGCUGUUCUCAAUAAAUGACGCUUGGACUUCCACAGGGUCUUCUAUUGGGUUUUUCGUGGUACCCUGGGCAUUUGCAUCUUCCAGCAGUUGUGUACUCCAGAGUCAAAAGCAGUACCUAUUCCUCAUAAGCUCCAUUAGAAGCUCUUUAUGGCUGUCAGCAUUAACUGACCUUGCCAGCUACAUGCAACAUCUUUCUCCAGAGGUUCCUGCUACAUGAACCAUCUGUAAUUUCUGUCUCUGUUGUUCACAUUAUGGGCCCCAGAAUAGGUUCAGUCCAUCCCUGCAUUGGUGUGACAUAGCCAUGUCUACUUAUUUCAUGGAUCCAGGUGGCAGCCAUAGAUGAACGCACAUAAUACUUGUAGGUUCUAGGCACCACCUGAACGUGGAUGGGGCUCUUCUGAUGGCAUCAAACUAUUCUACCAGGGCCAGGCCAAUGGCUGCUACCUUAGAAUGAGUAAAAACCUAAGUGCAGGAGACUCCACUGUUGAUUUCUUUGACUAUUGCAAAAACCAAAAACCAGCAUAUAAUUUGGCCCAUAUGGCUGUUUUGCUUUUCCUCCUUUCAUCUAGAGUGGCAUCCUUCCAAACAGGAUGCUUUCUGUUCUUGGAAUGGCCAUGCACCGUGGCAGCAGGUCUUUGUUGAUGGGGUGAGAGCCAUUUAUAGGGCAGUGUCUGAGUGGUGAUAGGUCUAGUAGUCUUUCUUGUAGUUCUAGAGUCUGUCUGGAUGGGGAGAGGCUCCCUGCUCAUAUCUCCUCUUAGAGUCUGCAGGCAGCCUGGUCUUGAAUAAGCCAUUUGAGUUCUGUAAUGUCCUCUGCAACGUCCCAGGAGUUGCUGCUCCCAUCUCAUGGGCCUUUGCAAAAGUCUAGUCUAGGAGCAGCACAGAGAUACCCUGGAGGCCAUUUAUCCAUAGUCACACUUCUGUGAUACGUGAGCUUGGGCAGCUGCAUCCAAUUCGUAUCGCUCAAAGGACAGAGUCUCAUGCUUUCUGCUUCAUAGCAUGAAGUGUGAGACGCCUUAUGAAGUCUUCACAAGGUUUAUGCGUAUAACACAGUCAGGUAAGACAGAUCAACUACUUCACUUAAAGCCUCUCUGGAGCAUACCAAGUCUCCUACAGGUUGCUAGCUUAAUACCAUGAGUCUGUGCUUGUCAAUCAGAGUUGCCACUGCGAUUUUAACAACAGGUUAGGUUUGUUACCAUUCUCAGCAAGGCAAAUGUUUCCCAGACAGAAUUUGACACACCAUUUUUUUUCCUCCUUCGUCAAUGAGACCCCUUUAUACAUUCUAACCUUUAAAGUUUAUUACCCCUUACAAGCUCAUUCUAGUAACCCUCACUAAAGUUUUACCAACUGGAUGCUAUAGCACAGGGCCCCUCGAUCAAAGAGUUCCUUCCCAGCACUUCUGAUUAACUCUUUAUCAAAAAAAACCUUAAGGCUUCCAGGAAGGUCGUUUAAGGGUCGUCUCUGCCUCCAUUAACAUCUCUGGCUGUUCCUGAUAUCAUUGGUAGCAUUAGAUCAGUUUUAUCACGAGACAUUUGGUUUCUUUCUCUCAAGGGCCGUUCUUCUCCAUUUCUGUCCAGACUAUGCUGUCAUUGGAAAGGCCAUUAUCUCAAUCCCUGUCCUGGUCUAGAAGGCUCUCAGUAUUGCUCUUAUACCUGACUAUGGCCCAAGGAAAUCCCAGAGUUUUAAAUUUUCCCCAAACUUUAAAAACUGCUCAGCUAAAACAGGAGACCAGCACGGAAGAGCUCUUUUGCUUACCCAGUGGCUCCUAGUUCAGCGUUCACACCUUUGCUUCAACCUCAUUAAUGGCUAAUUUAUUCAUUCCUUUUCUUCAUGUUCCUCUAAAGAUUUACAUCUUGUUGAAAGGACUACUGGGGCUCACCCCCCUUCUUCUUCUUCUUCUUCUUCUUCUUCUUCUUCUUCUUCUUCUUCUUCUUCUUCUUCUUCUUCUUCUUCUUCUUCUUCUUCUUCUUCUUCUUCUUCUUCUUCUUCUUCCUCCUCCUCCUCCUCC